UUCAGCUCACUUACUCCACACAACAACCCAAUGAGAUAAGUAUUAUCACUUACAGGUAAUUAGGAAAUUGAGGCGGAUUAAAUAAUUUGCUCCAGCUUUUACAGUUAGAGCAAGACUUAAACACAGCCUAUCUGGUUACACAUCCUAAAUUUAUCAUCUUGACCUGGGACCUCAAGUUGUAUUACCACAGUAUCUCCCAGUACCUCCCAGUGCACCAGCCAGAUACCUUGUGGAAAUCUUCAGCUUUCCCUACAGGUCAGUGGCUGGCCUGGAACCAUGAGAGUAAGUUCUAAACCAUCUGCAAAAUGGACUCUUAAUUCAGGCACUAGACAAUUUGUCUCCAAUGCUUUCUUCCUUGCUGAGUGUGACAAUGACAUGUAGAUAUGUCUGCUUCCCUUCCUUAUGAGACUGUAGUUGGCUGGAUCCUAAUGCUAGGGAAUUUAGUUUUGCAUCUUGGAGUGAUUUUUUUACCUUGUAGAAUUAGAAAACUUUGAUCCAAACGCUACCCAUUGGUGUAUUAAGCUCUCACAUAUCUACCAUAUUUCCACAGUGGUUUGCUGACUGUUGUACCCAGAUGUUAAUGAGUCUUGCAUUGCUUCAGUAUUUUCCACAAGAUGCUAUUGUAAUUGAAAGUUAAAGGUCUGUGGAAUUUUUUUUUUUUUUGGUUGAAUUAACCUAAUAUAGAAGAAAGCUCAAGUUGGCCUUAGAUGAUCUUAUUGGCAUUGUUCACUUGUUUUUAAUGAGAUCUCAAGUGUUUUAUGGAGCAUGGGCUAUGUUGGUGCUUAGUGCAUAAAGUGUAGCUUGGCUAACUCUCUAGGCACCCUGCCAUACUUAAGUCAGCUGUGCAGUAGCUUUAUUCAUGUGCCCUAUUUGAUAUUUACUUGGCAAGUGACUUCUAAAAUCAUUUCUGAAAUUUGUUGUGUUGUCACUGUUUCAGAAAAGAGUUUUUAGUGCAAGCAAUCAAAAAUAUAAAAUUUCCAACAUUUUCUUGGUUGAGCAAAGAGAAAAGGACCUGAAAUAUCUCACUUUAGUUGGUAUAGUGGAAUAAAAUCCAUUGCAUUAUAAAUGUAGUGAACACAACAGUUGUUAUACAGG
rnacentral:lncRNA from 9 species